UACAGGGGGGGCAAGCGUUGUUCGGAAUUACUGGGCGUAAAGGGUCAGUAGGCGGCCAACUAAGUCCGACGUGAAAUCCCAAAGCUUAACUUUGGAACUGCGUCGGAUACUGGAUGGCUUGAAUUCGGGAGAGGGAUGCAGAAUUCCAGGUGUAGCGGUGAAAUGCGUAGAUAUCAGGAGGAACACCGGUGGCGAAGGCGGAUCUCUGGGCCUUGCCUGACGCUCAGGCACGAAAGCUAGGGGAGCGAACAGG
rnacentral:rRNA from 1 species